CAGCACCUCAAGUGGUCAGGAUGAUUAUUGGGCCUAAAGCAUCCGUAGCCUGUUCUGUAAGUUUCCGGUUAAAUCCAUUAGCUCAACUAAUGGGCCGCCGAAAAUACUGCAGAACUAGGGAGUGGGAGAGGUAGACGGUACUCGGUAGGAAGGGGUAAAAUCCUUUGAUCUAUUGAUGACCACCUGUGGCGAAGGCGGUCUACCAGAACACGUUCGACGGUGAGGGAUGAAAGCUGGGGGAGCAAACCGGAUUAGAGACCCGAGUAGUCC
rnacentral:rRNA from 1 species